rnacentral:rRNA from 1 species
GACGAACGCUGGCGGCGUGCUUAACACAUGCAAGUCGAACGCUGAAGCUCAGCUUUUGUUGGGUGGAUGAGUGGCGAACGGGUGAGUAACACGUGAGUAACCUGCCCCCUUCUUUGGGAUAACGCCCGGAAACGGGUGCUAAUACUGGAUAUUCACUGGUCUUCGCAUGGGGGUUGGUGGAAAGGGUUUUUCUGGUGGGGGAUGGGCUCGCGGCCUAUCUGCUUGUUGGUGGGGUGAUGGCCUACCAAGGCUUUGACGGGUAGCCGGCCUGAGAGGGUGACCGGGCACAUUGGGACUGAGAUACGGCCCAGACUACUACGGGGGGCAGCAGUGGGGAAUAUUGCAGAAUGGGCGCAAGACUGAUGCAGCGACGCAGCGUGAGGGAUGGAGGCCGUCGGGUUGUGAACCUCUUUCGCUCAUGGUCAAGCCGCAACAAUGGUUGUGGUGAGGGUAGUGGGUAAAGAAGCGCCGGCUAACUACGUG